GAUCUAGCUUGCUGGAUGCUGACGAGCGGCGGACGGGUGAGUAAUGCAUAGGAAUCUGCCCGAUAGUGGGGGAUAACCUGGGGAAACCCAGGCUAAUACCGCAUACGUCCUACGGGAGAAAGGGGGCUCCGGCUCCCGCUAUGGGAUGAGCCUAUGUCGGAUUAGCUAGUUGGUGAGGUAACGGCUCACCAAGGCCACGAUCCGUAGCUGGUCUGAGAGGAUGAUCAGCCACAUCGGGACUGAGACACGGCCCGAACUCCUACGGGAGGCAGCAGUGGGGAAUAUUGGACAAUGGGGGCAACCCUGAUCCAGCCAUGCCGCGUGUGUGAAGAAGGCCCUCGGGUUGUAAAGCACUUUCAGCGAGGAAGAACGCCUAGCGGUUAAUACCCGCUAGGAAAGACAUCACUCGCAGAAGAAGCACCGGCUAACUCCGUGCCAGCAGCCGCGGUAAUACGGAGGGUGCAAGCGUUAAUCGGAAUUACUGGGCGUAAAGCGCGCGUAGGUGGCUUGAUAAGCCGGUUGUGAAAAGCCCCGG
rnacentral:rRNA from 1 species